AUAAAAUCUUAACGAGAGCCCCAGAAAACCUCUGCUAGCCCAGCACAGACAGAGCAGUUUGCCCUCCAGCUCCAGAACGGUUGGUGUGCACAGAAGUAAGAAAUCUCAGUCAAGAUGGAUUCUGUCCUAAAGUGGUUUAGCAAAGACGAUGACAAAGAGAAGGAGCAGCAUACAGAGAAGGGGAAGCUGCAGAGUAAGCUGUGUGAGGAGCAGCAGCAGAAGGCGGAGCAGAUG